rnacentral:misc_RNA from 1 species
GUUAUGGUCAAAUUACCUCAAAUAGUCACUAAUUGACUAUUAAAACUUUAGUUUGUGUCCAUUUUCAUCCACCACCAAAAUUAAAUUUCAAAACCCUAACCCUAAUUGUCCAAGCCUCCAAUUCAUGCAUCUUACUCCUAAUUUGCUAUACUAAUCAUAUAAUUUAUAAGAGGGGCAGCUAAUAUGUCACUUUAACCAAAGAAUUCUCCUAACUCUAACUCAUGUCAAGGCUGCCAAAAUUUCAUGAAAUAUAACCAUGCUUCAUUAAUUCAAUUUUCAUCAAAUUUUCAACUUAACUCAACUUAAAUUCAUGCUUAGAAAAGAAUGGAAGCAAGAAAAUUAGCACUAACCCUGUUGGAGCUACUCU